UUAAGAGAAAUGGCUAAUAUUCUAUGUCAUAAUUCAUUUUUCUGCUUUAAAGGAAGAUUCACCAACAGACCACCAGAGUACCAAUUGGAAGUCCAAUGGCCAGCCCACUAGCAGAAAUACUCCUGAGGCAAGUUGAAGACCCGAUCCUGCAAAAAUUUGAGCCAGACAUCAAACAUUACAUGAAAUAUGUAGAUGAUAUUUUUACAUUAUGGCAGAACAAAACUAAGAUAUUGAUGAUUUUGAAGCUACUUUCAUGCUCCCUGCAUAUGGACUUAGCCUUAAGAAACUCCAAUAAAGCCAUAACAUGGCUUACUUCCUGGAUAUCAACAUGAGAUUAGAUGGGGAAAAAUUGAAAACUGCAGUCUACCAUAAACCAAUGUACCAGCCAAUCAUAGUCCCCAGAUGGUCCCCAGACCCUUUAUCCUACAAAAAGUAGUCUUUAGAUCACUUUUCAGGAGAGCAUUCUUAUAUUCCAUGAACCACCAAGAUCCACAGGCCGAAAUAGAUUAUAUAUACGAUGUUGGCCUUCAACAUGAUUAUGGAAGAGGCAUCUUAAAAAGUAAACCAUACUAAAGUUGAGCAAGCACUAAAAGAUGAUCCCAAUAGUGCACCUGGCCCAAACAUAAGUGAUGUCAAUAGUCAACAAUAUCUCCCUUUACCAUAUUCUCUGGCAAAGCUCAACUCCAUCAAAAACUUGACGAAAAAACCAGGGAAAAACCAGCAUACUUUAGGGCAAUCCACCGUGUUUAAUAGACUCAGGAAUGAAAAAGAGAGAAGGAACAACUGGCAAAAGUCAGAUAUGUAUAAAAUUUCGGC
rnacentral:lncRNA from 1 species